rnacentral:rRNA from 1 species
UACGUAGGGGGCAAGCGUUGUCCGGAUUUAUUGGGCGUAAAGAGCUCGUAGGCGGUUCCGUAAGUCGAGUGUGAAAAAUCUGGGCUCAACCCAGUGGAGCACUCGAUACUGCGGUGACUGGAGUACGGUAGAGGAGUGUGGAAUUCCUGGUGUAGCGGUGAAAUGCGCAGAUAUCAGGAGGAACACCAAUGGCGAAGGCAGCACUCUGGGACGUGACUGACGCUGAGACGCGAAAGCGUGGGGAGCGAACAGG